UCAGCCAUGCUCCUGUUGCUCAUCCCAGUACUGGGGAUGCUUUUUUCCCUGAGAGACACCAGUGCCCAGUCAGUGACCCAGCUUGAUGGCCAUGUCACUGUCUCUGAAAAAGCCCAUCUGGAGCUGAGGUGCAACUACUCCUAUGGGGCAACUCCUAAUCUCUUCUGGUAUGUGCAGUACCCCAACCAAGGACUCCAGCUUCUCCUCAAGUACUUUUCAGGGCCACCAAAUGUCCUGGUUCAAGGCAUCAAAGGUUUUCAGGCUGAAUUUAGGAAGAAUGAAACCUCCUUCCAUCUGAGGAAACACUCGGCCCACUGGAGCGACUCGGCCAAGUACUUUUGUGCUGCAAGUGACACAGUACCUUGGACUGCAGGGGGAGCUGAACACAAACCUCUUGAGGCACUAAGGAGGCUAAGUGCAUCUGAAAGGUUUUGGAUUCUGACAUAG